rnacentral:rRNA from 1 species
AGGACGAACGCUGGCGGCGUGCUUAACACAUGCAAGUCGAGCGGUAAGGCCUUUCGGGGUACACGAGCGGCGAACGGGUGAGUAACACGUGGGUGAUCUGCCCUGCACUUCGGGAUAAGCCUGGGAAACUGGGACUAAUACCGGAUAUGCCUUCAGGUUGCAUGACUUGGGGUGGAAAGAUUUAUCGGUGCAGGAUGGGCCCGCGGCCUAUCAGCUUGUUGGUGGGGUAAUGGCCUACCAAGGCGACGACGGGUA